GUAGAAGUUCCAGCAUCCUAUCACAGGCAAGCACUGGCCAUCAUUCAAGUGGUUAAGAAAUCCAUAUUGUUGGGGAUAAUUCAGAUGGAAACUUCCAGGUGUCAAAAAAGGCUAUUUAUGUAUACCACUACUGCAGCCUGUGUUUUGUUAGCCCAAAAAUGGAAAACGAGCGAAAUCCCAACUAAAGAAGAAUGGCAACUUAAACUGACGGAAUAUGUGCAGCUUGCGAACUUAACAUAUAGAAUAAGAGAACAAGAAGAACAUAUGUUUAGAGAAGGUUGGAAAAUGUUUAUUGAAUAUAUGGGGGGGGGAAUUGUGUACACUUGAAAAUGUUGGCAGCAUUAAGAUAAAUUCAACAGUGUAAAUAAGUUCUGAUGGAUGUACUAAUGGAAUACUGAUUGGUUUAGUCUAUGUAAAAUAUGCAGGGAUUUGUGUUAUGCAAAAUGAAACAUGGAAAGAGAGGAAGGGAAGUCACUGAUACUUUAAGGUUGUUUAAAUGAAAAUUCUAAAUUGUAAAACAGAAAAUUUAAUAAAAGUGUGUGUGUGUGUGUGUGUGUGUGUGUGAAAUGCACACAGCUUUUACACGUAUCUGCUCAAUAAUGUUGUAUGGCUGAAAAUGGGUCCCAAAAGUCACAAUGCAGUGUUGGGCCCCAUGUCUUUUAACAGGGGUUGGGUGCCAAAUCCACCCCCCAUUUAAAAUUAGUCUCCUUCAGAACAACUUUGCAAUAGCAUGGUGAAGGAACCAUGAUCUAACAUUUGGGGUGCAUCAUUCACCUUGUUAAUGUUCUGUCCUAUGCAGAAAGAAUGGCUCAUCUCAGCCUAGUUGGAAGGGAGGACAUAGUAAACACAGGUGGAACCUGGGUGUGGUGUUUCAGUUCCAAGAGAUACCAGUGCCUCUGAAGGACCAGUUGCCAUGACCCAAAAACGGUGCCUAUAUUAGCUUUGCCAUACCAUCACCAUUCCGAACUUGUUAUUGGAAUGGUGCCUGCCUCCUAGAAUAUUUCCCAAAUAUGUACAGCUGAAGACCAUAUGAGCCCAACCUCUAGCAUGCAUAGGCUAACUAAAAAUUAAAUCCCUCUCCUAUGGAUCUGCUUAAACUACAGGAUUGCAGUUAGUCUUGCACCCUGUCCUGUGAAACUCUAGCUACAUUGCCAUCAUUAUUUGGGCAGGGGGGUGGGUUUGUCUACUACAGGCUGGUGUAGUUAUGUAUUAAGUAUUAACUGGAUUUUGCCUUUCCCAGUUGGAUAGCAAACCGUAUUUCCCCAACUAAUAUGAAAAGGUCAUCUGCAAGCAUUAGAGUGGAUUCCUGCAAGAGUCAAGAAUACAUUCAAAGGUAGGCUAUAUACCGGUAGUACAGGCUUCCUCAACCUCGGCCCUCCAGAUGUUUUUGGCCUACAGCUCCCAUGAUCCCUAGCAAGCAGGACCAGUGGUCAGGGAUGAUGGGAAUUGUAGUCUCAAAACAUCUGGAGGGCCAAGGUUGAGGAAGCCUUCUAUAGUAUGUGAGUGUGAAAGCCAGCAUGGCAUAGACAUUAAGUUGAAAUUAUUAUUAUUAUUAUUAUUAUUAUUAUUAUUAUUAUUAAUUACUUAUACCCCACUCAUCUGGCCGGGCCUCCCCAGCCACUCUGGGCGGCUCUCAACAGAAUAUUAAAAACACAAUAAAACAUCAAACGUUAAAAACUUCCCUAAACAGGGUUGCCUUCAGAUGUCUUCUAAAAGACAGAUACAGUGGACGUUCAGGUUGCAAACAUUAUCCGUUCUGGAUGCACGGUCCCAACCUGCAGCUUUCGCAACCUGCAGCAGCGUGUCUGUGCACACGUGGGUUGCGAUUCGGCGCUUCUGCGCAUGCGCAAAGUGCAAUUUAGCGCUUCUGCGCUUGCGCGACUGCUGAAACCCGGAAGUAACCCAUUCCGGUACUUCCAGGUUUUGGCGGUCUGUAACCCAAAAAAAUGCAACCUGAAGUGUCUGUAACCCGAGGUAUGACUGUAGUUGUUUCUUGACAUCUGGUGGGAGGGCGUUCCACAGGGCGGUUGCCACUACCGAGAAGGCCCUCUGCCUGGUUCCCUGUAACCUCACUUCUCGCAGGGAGGGAACCGCCAGAAGACUGUCGACACUGGACCUCAGUUUCUGGGCUGAACAAUGAGGGUGGAGAUGCUCCUUCAGGUAUACUGGGCUGAGGCCGUUUAGGGCUUUAAAGGUUACAAAAGCAAUAGCCACCAUCCCCAAAUCAAGAUGACACCCCAACACAGAUCAUCUGCAGAGAUUGUCACUAUUACAACUGACACAUGUGGUUUGGGGCAUUUUUUCUAGAGAGGACCCAGAGUAAGAGAUCUGAUGAGCUUCAGAGACAGCACUACAGAAAGUACCUUCAUACCAUUUUCUGGAAUUCUGAACAAGCAAGUGGUAGGAUUAGGGUGCGAGUAAACUGCCUGUAAAAAAUAAAAUAAAACAUUGGUCUGAUUUUGCUUCAUUCUCUGACCUAUUUUACAGGGCAUCUUGCAAUGUGGCUGAAACAAUGUCACUUCGGGGCAAAUAGUGCCUGGAAUGUUGUUUUGCUUUCCUGCUUAGAAGAAUGAAGUGUAACUUUUCUCCUGAC